AUGGUGCGGGGGAAGACGGAGAUGAAGCGGAUAGAGAACGCGACGAGCCGGCAGGUGACCUUCUCCAAGCGCAGGAACGGGCUGCUCAAGAAGGCCUUCGAGCUCUCCGUCCUCUGCGACGUCGAGGUCGCCCUCGCCGUCUUCUCCCCUCGCGGCAGGCUCUACGAGUUCUCCAGCACCACCAGGUAA
rnacentral:rRNA from 1 species